UAGAUGGAACUGUCUAAAAAAGAAAUAGAUUUUGAGUUUCCCUUUGAACCAUAUGAUAUUCAGAAAUCUUUUAUGAGCACCUUAUAUGAAACACUUCAAAAUGACAAGAUUGGUAUAUUUGAAAGUCCAACAGGAACAGGAAAGUCAUUAAGCCUGAUAUGUGGCUCUUUGAGAUGGCUUUUUGAUUACGAGAUAGAAAAAGAAGAAAAAAUAAAAUCUAUAAUAAAUUUCUCAAGUGCUGUAGAAAGAACAAAUGAUGACAAAGCAAAUGAUGAAGAAAAAAAAGAACCAUCUUGGGUGACAGAUUUUUUUAAACAAAAAGCAGCUAAUGUUCAGCUUGAAAAGUUAAAGGAAAAAGAAAGUUUAAAAAAGAAAAAAAAUGAACUUAUUGAAAAGAGGAAAAACAUUGUAAACUUUAAACGAAAGAGAGAAAAUUGUCCAUCUCUUGAGAAUGAACUUAAUAAUAAUUUAACAAGUAGUUUUAAAGAAAUUAUUAGCGACGAAGAUAAUAAAGAAGACGACGAAGAGUUAAUUCUUGAUUACUGUAGCGAUGAGGAUACAGUUGAUUUAAUUUCAGAUGAAGAACAAGAUAAUAUUGAGGAAGAGUACUGCACAAAGAUAUUUUAUUGCAGUCGAACACAUUCCCAGCUAUCACAAUUUGUUCAUGAAGUUCAGAAAUCGCCAUAUGCUAAUCGCGUUAAAUUAGUUGUUUUGGGUUCAAGACAGAACUAUUGCAUCAAUGAAAAAGUAAACCAACAAAAAAACGUUUAUCAAAUCAAUGAAAAAUGUCUGGAUUUACAAAAAAAGAAAAAAGAGAGAAAAAAAGAUAUAAAUCAACCAAAGAAAAAACGUAAGAAAGAGGAAACAUCAAAUGGUUGUCCAUAUUACAGCUCUAAAAAAGUCCACGAUUUUAAAGAUUACGUAACAAUGGAAGUUCAAGACAUAGAGCAGAUUGUUAAACUUGGAAAAGACUUGAAUACAUGUCCAUAUUACGGAACAAGGCAUACUAUACCAAAGGCACAGUUAGUUGUUUUGCCAUAUCAGACAUUGUUACACAGAGGAACUAGAGAAUCUGUUGGUAUUAAUGUAAAAGAUUGUGUUGUUAUAAUUGAUGAAGCACAUAAUCUGAUCGAAACUAUCAACAAUAUACAUAGUGUUGAAAUCCGACAGAAUCAAAUUACAUCAUCGAUUAACCAAUUAAAACAUUAUAAAGAUAAGUAUUUCAAACGAUUGAAGGCCAUAAACUUGAUGUACAUUGAACAAAUUAUUUUUGUUUUUAACUCCCUCUUAAAAGUACUCAAAGAACAUAUUGAAUCACCAACAGAAGAAUAUUUGUCAACUAUUAAUGAUUUUAUUUAUUCUGCAAAAAUAGACAAUGUAAAUUUAUUUAAGAUUCAUAAAUACUGCGAGCAAAGUUCAAUAGCAAAAAAGUUGAAUGGAUUUAUUGAAAAAUAUCAAACAGAGUAUGUUACAACACAUAGUGAAGAAAAUGUUGAGGUUUUGCAAACUUCUCAGUUCAUGUAUGCUGAGUCAUUUUUGUAUGCUCUUACUAAUUCUGACAAAGAUGGAAGAAUCUUGGUGACUAAAAGCAAAGUUCCCAAUAAAUCUUCUAUUAAGUUUCUCAUGCUUAAUCCAGCAGUACACUUUAUUGACAUAAUAAAAGAUUGUAAAUCUCUCAUUUUGGCAGGUGGAACUAUGGCACCAGUUGGUGAGAUUAAAGACUUAUUGUUUUACACCUCUGGUAUUCCCUCAUCUCGAAUUACAGAGUUUUCAUGUGGUCAUGUAAUUCCAUCUAGUAAUUUACUUGUGUUAGCUUUACAAAAAGGUCCUUCUUCAAUGGACAUGAGUUUUACUUACCAGAGUAGAAACAAUUUUGAUUUGGUUGAUGAGCUAGGUCGUUUGUUAGUUAAUAUUUGUUCUGUUGUUCCUGGUGGCAUUGUUUGUUUUUUUCCUUCAUACGAUUAUGAAGAAUUUGUUUACAAACGAUGGAUUAAUACUUCAUUAUUUAAUAAAAUUGAUAGCAAAAAAAAAGGUGUUUCGAGAACCAAAGUCUGCCAUGCUAUGUGACCAAGUGUUAUCUGAAUAUACAAAUAUGAUAAAGAAAUCACAGUCUAGUGGGGCAGUUCUUCUUAGUGUGGUUGGUGGAAAAAUGAGUGAAGGAAUAAAUUUUUCCGAUGAUCUGGGUCGAUGCAUAGUAAUGAUUGGUCUACCUUACCCAAAUGUAAACUCACCAGAGUUGAAGGAAAAAAUGCAGUUUCUUAACCGCACAAUAAAC
rnacentral:misc_RNA from 1 species